ensembl:misc_RNA Metazoa_SRP Metazoan signal recognition particle RNA
GCCAGGCUUGGUGGCAUGUGUCUGUAGUCCCAGCUACUUGGAAGGCUGAGGUGGGAGGAUCGCUUGAGCCCAGGAGUUCUGGGCUGUAGCGCGCUGUGCCUGUCGGGUGUCCUCACUAAGUUCAGCAUCAAUAUGGUGACCUCACGGGAGCAGGGGACCACCAGGUUGCCUAAGGAGGGGUGAACUGGCCCAGGUCGGAAACUGAGCAGGUUAAAACUCCUGUGCUGAUCAGUAGUGAGACUGCGCUUGUGAAUAGCCAUUGCACUCCAGCCUGGGCAACAUAGCAAGACCCCAACUCU